rnacentral:rRNA from 1 species
GAUGAACGCUGGCGGCGUGCCUAAUACAUGCAAGUCGAGCGAACAGACGAGGAGCUUGCUCCUCUGACGUUAGCGGCGGACGGGUGAGUAACACGUGGAUAACCUACCUAUAAGACUGGGAUAACUUCGGGAAACCGGAGCUAAUACCGGAUAAUAUAUUGAACCGCAUGGUUCAAUAGUGAAAGACGGUUUUGCUGUCACUUAUAGAUGGAUCCGCGCCGCAUUAGCUAGUUGGUAAGGUAACGGCUUACCAAGGCAACGAUGCGUAGCCGACCUGAGAGGGUGAUCGGCCACACUGGAACUGAGACGCGGUCCAGACUCCUACGGGAGGCAGCAGUAGGGAAUCUUCCGCAAUGGGCGAAAGCUUGACGGAGCAACGCCGCGUGAGUGAUGAAGGUCAUCGGAUCGUAAAACUCUGUUAUUAGGGAAGAACAAAUGUGUAAGUAACUAUGCACGUCUUGACGGUACCUAAUCAGAAAGCCACGGCUAACUACGUG